GUUCACUUCCUAUGAUCUUGGUUUAUUUAGGAUCUCAUUAUCAACAUUUCAGCUGUCUAUCUGUCUACAGCCAGCAACAAAAAAUCGGAUCCAAUAUUUUACACUCGCGCUCUAUGGCCGGGCAUCCCGGUAGCACUUCAGUCUCCAAGGGGAAACAAAGAUAUAGAUCUCGCCUUUCCUAAUCUACGCCACAUCCCCGGAGUCCAUCCAUUACCUAGGAACGGGGCGAAGCAGAAGGAUGACUCUAAGUAAAUAACCGCGUCACUGGGCCACUUUGUAGCUGCCGCACUGUUAUCUCAGCCAGGGCAGAACUGACUCCAAACGAGGAUACUUGGAAGCAACAAAAAUGAAAUUUUAUACGGUCCCGGUGGGUUGUGAUCCUAAUCCAACCUGAAGAACAUGACGUUUUCCCAAGUGCGCCGAUCAACGUAACAACAUAACUUAAAAAUGAGACGCAAGAGAGCGCAGAUGCUGGAAUACGGAGUAAAAAUAAAAUCAAACGGCUGGAGUAACUCGGUGGGUCAAACAACAUCGGGGGGGGGGAUGAAGCAAAACAUCAUCUGGUCAUUAUUAAACCAAUUUGUGGAAGCAUACGUUGGAUAAAUUGACUGACAUUUCUCAUCAAUUAUAACAGUGAACGCCUUCCAUAAGUAUUUCAAUGUCUGUAUUUUGGAAUCUCCUAAUAGAAACAUGUCUACAUUAGUGGGAGUCUAUCUUCUUAAAGCAUAUCAUGACUGUACUGAAGACUAAUUAUGCCAUUGCAUUCCUGUUUCUCUCUCUCUCUCUCUCUCUCUCUCUCUCUCUCUCUCUCUCUCUCAUAGAUUAUUUUACUGAACAAACAAAACAUUUUAAACAGUCAUUGGCUUCCUAUUAUCAUAGCUUGAGAUGCUCUUUCCUUUUACAGAACAAACAGGUAAUUUGUAGCAAAUUUAAAUUGAGGUAUUUCAAUAAAUCUGGAAUUGAAGCUGGUCCUAGCAAAUUUUAUCAUUAACUAAUAUACUAUUGUUAAACCCAGGUGUUUCUUUCAC